rnacentral:rRNA from 1 species
CUAGACAGUAACUGACGCUCAGUCACGAAAGCGUGGGGAGCAAAUAGGCUUAGAUACCCUAGUAGUCCACGCCGUAAACGUUGAGGACCAGGUGUCGGGGGCAUACCUCGGCGCCGCAGCAAACGCAAUGAGUCCUCCGCCUGGGUACUACGUUCGCAAGAAUAAAACUUAAAGGGAUUGACGGGGGCCCGCACAAGCAGUGGAGCAUGUGGUUUAAUUCGUGGCUACGCGGAAAACCUUACCUGGGUUUGACAUCUCGCUAAAGGCCCUAGAGAUAGGGAGAUAGUUAUAGCGAUGAACGGUGGUGCAUGGCUGUCGUCAGCUCGUGUCGUGAGAUGUUGGGUUAAGUCCCGCAACGAGCGCAACCCCCGCCUUCAGUUGCCAUCAUUCAGUUGGGCACUCUGGAGGGACCGCCGGCGCAAGCCGGAGGAAGAUGGGGAUGACGUCAAGUCAUCACGCCCCUUAUGCCCAGGGCGACACACGUGCUACAAUGGCCGGUACAACGUGUUGCGACCUCGCGAGAGGAAGCGGAUCACUUAAAGCCGGUCUCAGUUCGGAUUGGGGUCUGCAAUUCGACCCCAUGAAGCCGGAAUGCUAGUAA